rnacentral:rRNA from 1 species
GCCCUCAAGACGAGGAUAACCGUUGGAAACGAUGGCUAAGACUGGAUAGGAAUACGGGAGGCAUCUUCUGUAUUUUAAAAGACCUGGCAACAGGUAUGCUUGAGGAGGGGCCUGCGGCGCAUUAGUUAGUUGGUGAGGUGAUGGCUCACCAAGACGAUGAUGCGUAGCCGGACUGAGAGGUUGAACGGCCACAUUGGGACUGAGAGACGGCCCAAACUCCUACGGGAGGGCAGCAGUAGGGAAUUUUCGGCAAUGGGGGGAAAACCCUAGGACCCGAGCAAACGCCGUCGUGAACGACGAAGUACUUCGGUAUGUAAAGUUCUUUUAAGAGGGAAGAAUGGCCCGUGGAAAAGCGGGCGUGACGGUACCUUUUGAAUAACGCCCCGGCUAACUAUGUGCCAGCCGCGGC